rnacentral:rRNA from 1 species
UACGUAGGGGGCUAGCGUUGUCCGGAUUUAUUGGGCGUAAAGAGCGUGUAGGCGGCCAGGUAGGUCCGGUGUGAAAACUCGAGGCUUAACCUCGAGAUGUCAUCGGAAACCAUUUGGCUAGAGUCCGGAAGAGGAAAGUGGAAUUCCUGGUGUAGCGGUGAAAUGCGCAGAUAUCAGGAAGAACACCAAUGGCGAAAGCAGCUUUCUGGGACGGUACUGACGCUGAGACGCGAAAGCGUGGGGAGCGAACAGG